rnacentral:rRNA from 1 species
UACGUAGGGGGCAAGCGUUGUCCGGAUUUAUUGGGCGUAAAGAGCGUGUAGGCGGCCAGAUAGGUCCGUUGUGAAAACUGGAGGCUUAACCUCCAGCUGUCGAUGGAAACCAUCUGGCUAGAGUCCGGAAGAGGAGAGUGGAAUUCCUGGUGUAGCGGUGAAAUGCGUAGAGAUCAGGAAGAACACCGGUGGCGAAAGCGCUCUGCUAGGCCGCAACUGACACUGAGGGACGAAAGCUAGGGGAGCGAAUGGG